rnacentral:rRNA from 1 species
AUUGAACGCUGGCGGCAGGCCUAACACAUGCAAGUCGAGCGGCAGCGGAAAGUAGCUUGCUACUUUGCCGGCGAGCGGCGGACGGGUGAGUAAUGUCUGGGGAUCUGCCUGAUGGAGGGGGAUAACUACUGGAAACGGUAGCUAAUACCGCAUAACGUCGCAAGACCAAAGCGGGGGACCUUCGGGCCUCGCGCCAUCAGAUGAACCCAGAUGGGAUUAGCUAGUAGGUGGGGUAAUGGCUCACCUAGGCGACGAUCCCUAGCUGGUCUGAGAGGAUGACCAGCCACACUGGAACUGAGACACGGUCCAGACUCCUACGGGAGGCAGCAGUGGGGAAUAUUGCACAAUGGGCGCAAGCCUGAUGCAGCCACGCCGCGUGUAUGAAGAAGGCCUUCGGGUUGUAAAGUACUUUCAGCGAGGAGGAAGGCGGUAAGGUUAAUAACCUUACUGAUUGACGUUACUCGCAGAAGAAGCACCGGCUAACUCCGUG